rnacentral:rRNA from 1 species
CGCGUAGGCGGUUCAGUCAGUCAGAUGUGAAAGCCCUGGGCUCAACCUGGGAACUGCAUUUGGUACUGCUGAACUGGAGUAUGGUAGAGGGAAGUGGAAUUCCGGGUGUAGCGGUGAAAUGCGUAGAUAUCCGGAGGAACACCAGUGGCGAAGGCGACUUCCUGGACCGAUACUGACGCUGAGGUGCGAAAGCGUGGGUAGCAAACA